rnacentral:rRNA from 1 species
UUUAAAGAGAGUUUGAUCCUGGCUCAGGACGAACGCUGGCGGCGUGCCUAAUACAUGCAAGUCGAACGAACGGAGGAAGAGCUUGCUCUUCCAAAGUUAGUGGCGGACGGGUGAGUAACACGUGGGCAACCUGCCUGUAAGUUGGGGAUAACUCCGGGAAACCGGGGCUAAUACCGAAUGAUAAAGUGUGGCGCAUGCCACGCUUUUGAAAGAUGGUUUCGGCUAUCGCUUACAGAUGGGCCCGCGGUGCAUUAGCUAGUUGGUAGGGUAAUGGCCUACCAAGGCAACGAUGCAUAGCCGACCUGAGAGGGUGAUCGGCCACACUGGGACUGAGACACGGCCCAGACUCCUACGGGAGGCAGCAGUAGGGAAUCUUCCGCAAUGGACGAAAGUCUGACGGAGCAACGCCGCGUGUAUGAAGAAGGUUUUCGGAUCGUAAAGUACUGUUGUUAGAGAAGAACAAGGAUAAGAGUAACUGCUUGUCCCUUGACGGUAUCUAACCAGAAAGCCACGGCUAACUACGUGCCAGCAGCCGCGGUAAUACGUAGGUGGCAAGCGUUGUCCGGAUUUAUUGGGCGUAAAGCGCGCGCAGGCGGUCUUUUAAGUCUGAUGUGAAAGCCCCCGGCUUAACCGGGGAGGGUCAUUGGAAACUGGAAGACUGGAGUGCAGAAGAGGAGAGUGGAAUUCCACGUGUAGCGGUGAAAUGCGUAGAUAUGUGG